rnacentral:rRNA from 1 species
UACGGAGGAUGCGAGCGUUAUCCGGAUUUAUUGGGUUUAAAGGGUGCGCAGGCGGGAUGUUAAGUCGGCGGUGAAAUUUUGCAGCUCAACUGUAAAAGUGCCUUCGAUACUGGCUUCCUUGAGUGUGGAUGAAGUAGGCGGAAUUUGUGGUGUAGCGGUGAAAUGCUUAGAUAUCACGAGGAACUCCGAUUGCGCAGGCAGCUUACUAAGCCACUACUGACGCUCAUGCACGAAGGCGUGGGGAUCAAACAGGAUUA